AGUGAACGCUGGCGGUAGGCCUAACACAUGCAAGUCGAACGGCAGCACAGUAAGAGCUUGCUCUUACGGGUGGCGAGUGGCGGACGGGUGAGGAAUACAUCGGAAUCUACUUUUUCGUGGGGGAUAACGUAGGGAAACUUACGCUAAUACCGCAUACGACCUACGGGUGAAAGCAGGGGAUCUUCGGACCUUGCGCGAUUGAAUGAGCCGAUGUCGGAUUAGCUAGUUGGCGGGGUAAAGGCCCACCAAGGCGACGAUCCGUAGCUGGUCUGAGAGGAUGAUCAGCCACACUGGAACUGAGACACGGCCCAGACUCCUACGGGAGGCAGCAGUGGGGAAUAUUGGACAAUGGGCGCAAGCCUGAUCCAGCCAUGCCGCGUGGGUGAAGAAGGCCUUCGGGUUGUAAAGCACUUUUGGUGGGAAAGAAAAGCAGCAGGUUAAUACCCCGCUGUUAUGACGGUACCCGAAGAAUAAGCACCGGCUAACUUCGUG
rnacentral:rRNA from 1 species